CCAAAACUUCAACCUGCCUUUGUCCACAAAAGCACAUAACCAAUUCUUAGACUUGCAGCAUUUGAUCUCACAACUAAAUCUGGAAACAAAUAAGGACAGCUGGUCAUAUAUUUGGGGAUCACUGAUCUUCUCAACCAAAUGAGCUUACAAAACAAUCAUUGGACAGAGAACCAUACACCCAACAUUUUGCUGGCUCUGGAUAUCACGAUGUCAGAAAAAGCACAAAAUUUUCUUUUGGCUACUUCUCAAGGACCGAUUAAGCACAAGGGACCUCUUACAAAGAAGACACAUGCAACUAGAAUCAUAUACUUGCGAACUAUGCAUUCGGCAGAAAAGAGAAACGGUCAAGCACCUUUUUUUUUGUUGCAACUUCGCCAAAACUUGUUGGAAUAGCAUUGGGGUAGCGUACAUUUCGACAAGGUCAACAUUGAAUAUCAUCACACAGAUCAAAAUGAAAUUAGGGGUACCCUUUUUCAUGGAAAUCAUUAUAUUAAUGACCUGGAGCAUUUGGACAACAAGAAACGGAUGGAUGUUCAGCAACAUUGAUCCACUACCACAGACAUGUAGAAGGAAAUUUAACUCAGAGUUUAA
rnacentral:lncRNA from 1 species